rnacentral:lncRNA from 1 species
CCACACUCCGAGUUAUACCCAUCUCCCAUAAGGAUUCAGGAUCUUCACGAUUAAGCUUCAGUGACAACAAGACCAGCCAAGCAUCAAGUCUCUUCUUUUCGUGAUUGCUGUGACGGUUUCAGAUUCAGAAGCGCAAAAGGUGGUUACCAAGAGUAACCUGGGUCUAACCUACGACAAGGAAGGUGCGUUGUUCUUCCCUAGUUUUCUGGCUAUCUUAAAGUUGUACUCGGAAGAAUCUCCUUCAGUUCAAAUAAAAAGCAUGUAUGUUGUUUCUUGCAGCUAUUUGUUCUCCAUGCAUCUGAUAUAUUAGAUAGACAGUGAGGAAAUAGAGGACUAAGUUACAUGUAACGAUCACAUUAGUGAACUAUCCAAAAGCAGAGUACUCAUAUUGGCGAGCUAGCUGGUGUGGCAGAUUGG